rnacentral:lncRNA from 1 species
CACCUCAGCAUUUAACUAACGACUUUCCCCAAAUCACGCCUUUCACUGAAAACAUUUCUCCCAAGUCAGAUCAUCUCCCCAAAAUCUUCACUCCAGAACCCUAGGUGAGAACCAUCUUCUCCAGUAUCUGUCAAACCCUUGGUUCUUGAAAUCCAUUGCUCCCAAAUCUCACGCGAAGUCAUCUGCGUUAAUACAAAAUCCAAACCCCUGGGCGUGAAAUCAAUUUCCUCCAAGUCAAUUAGGUCGCGAUCCCCAAUUUAUUCAAUCAGCGAGAAGAGUGUGAGGAAACCCAACAUCCGACCGGCAGGAUACAGUAAUCAAGUCUUCGUUGGAGCGCGAUCGUGAUUUGAAUUGCAUUGAAGGUAAAGCAAUGAAAGAAGAAGACAUACUCGGGUUUUUUUUAAAUUAUAUUCUGAAAAUUACACUAAUGGAAAUAUAGACAUCGAACAUUCUCACUGGUGCAACUUUCGAUGAAUCCCUGUUUGAAUUGAUUGGAAAGGUAAUGCAAAUCAAUUUCAUUAGCCUUACUGUACUGACAAGCAUGUUUUUAGUUGUUAUUAUUAUUAUUAUUUUUUGGUGAUAAUCUGAUUUUCAAUUUGGUUAUAUUUUACUUAUUUUAUUGUGUUCCUUAGUUUAAGACUUCCUUAAGCUUGUUGAUUAUCUACAUUAUCUGAAUUUGGUAAUUGCAUUUGUAAUCAUUAUCCUAAGCCUUUGUCUACCAUUCAUGGUAAUAGGAAUUGGGACUGGUUGUGCAUGGAAACAGCUUCAUUAAAUUGUGAAGUAGAUAUACCACACCAACAAUUUGAAGCAGAUCAAGGAUGGAACAAUUGUGAAGCGGCCAUGUACUAACGUCGACAGUUCAGUGGCUAUUGUUUCAACUGAAUUUGUAUUUUGUAACGUCCAAUGUUUUGCUUUUGGCAUGUAAAUUGACGUCAGAUUGGGAUGUUACAAUGUUGUUGAGAUAGAACAUAUUCACAUUAAUGAAAUCAGUGUAUUGUUGCUGCCAUGACUAUUUAAAGCACUAGAUGUUGAGAUGAAUGAUGUUUAAAGCACUUGAUGAAAUCAGUAAGUUGCUGUUUAAAGCACUCCGUUGGUUCUUGUUGAUGUGUCCAACCGAUGAUGUGAACUUUGAAGAUGUCGUUGACAACGUGAUUUACAGCAAGCUCCAACUUUCAGUCUUUCAGUUUUUGGGGUGAUUCAAGUGAUACAUCCGAUGAUGAACUGGAGUUAUCAAGUUUGUUGAAGUGCGUUAUUAAAAUAACUGAAGAAAAGGACGUGGACAUCUCCGUCAAAUUUACUUUCCGCAAGGGAGAAGGAGAAGAGCAACGGGAAACCAAAUGGAGGAGCUUUGUGAACUUGAACUGCUUAUGCUUAAAUUUUUUUGUAGGCUUGAAAAUUAGGAAGUAGCUCAAUCCCAGGAACUUCAAUUUCACGUAUGUAAUUUGAAGUGUGUAGUACCCCCAAUGAAACGACUAUGUUAUUUUAAAUGGAUGUUAUUUUAUAUGAAUGUAAUUUAGAUGCAUUGCAAUGAACAUGUUAUUUUAUAUCAGAAUGUGAAUGCACAUUGUAUGAAAUA